GGUGAGAAGACAGUAAGUGAAAGAUAGAGUGGAAUUGGGAGAGAAAGGCAAGAUGGGGGAGCGAGGGGGGAUAAUGAGAUAAGUUGUCACAAAAGCAGUGCAGUGUUUCUCUAAUGUGUUACAUAGAAAAGACAGUGAAAGCCUGCUGAGAUUUUAUAUCAUAGGGUCAGGCUCUCUGGUUUUGUUGCCGCGUCUUGUGUGGUUAACUGGUGCAAAAAGGCCUACAGAAGAUUUCGGGUUUCUCCUCACAAAUAGCGAGAACAAGCUCCAGUCCAGAGACCUGGGAAAACUAAAUACCUCCUCCCAGGUUUUCCUUAGCAAGCAAAAUUUCUGCACCCACAAAUGCUCUGACACUGCCCAAAGAAAGAAGCUGGCAAUAGAGGAAAGGGAACAUGAGAGUAUUUUUUACUUUGUUUUGUAGUACGUGCAUAUAAAGACUAACACUUCUCUGCACCCUGAAGCUUCUUUUAUCUUUUAGAGUACUCCAUCAAACUCAUACUCCUCGCACCUGCCCCCUUGGCAAUAAUGAGCCACAAAAUUAAUUCUGUAAGAGCCACCCUGUCAACUUGAACCCCCUUCCCACUCUGGUUGGGGAGCAUGGUGUCUCUCUGGCCAUCUGGCUCCACAGGAGCCACCUCUCUGUUUCUGCCUGGAGUUCCCCACACCUUUACCAAGGCACUGGGCAGGCAGGGCUGUGGGGGAGGCAGCUGGCUCUGAGCUCUUUGCCAUCUCUCACAAUCACAGUCCCUCUCUGGGCUGUUCACUUGCCAGGAAUCGUGUUUUACAGGGGAGACCUUGGAGCCGUUCUUGUACCCAGAAAUGGUGCUGCUCCCCCAGCAUCUGGAAGACUGAAGCCUGACCACCAAAGCUCUUGUCCCGGAUUAAUUCCAGAUAAGCAAAUUUCAUAAAGCAUGUUACAGCAAGACAGAGAAACAUAGCAGUGUUUUGAAGCCUGGUUUUGAUUUUUGCUGGAAAGGAAGCAUGUUAGUGAUGCUGUACCUUAACCAGGUGAUACUGAAGUUUCUCCACAUCAGAUUUGCCCCCCUCCUGAAACAAUAAAAGUGCUACCAGUUGGGCUGCA
rnacentral:lncRNA from 1 species